AUUUCAUAUUCAAAAUCUUACAUAUCUGCAUCUGCUUUAAAGUUUAGGCUAAAUCUUUACUUGGGUUCUACUGUCGAUCACCCAGAUGGUAAGCAGUAAACCCUACUGUUUCUCUGGAGGAGAGACUGCAUGGUGUCUGGGGCUAUCCCUGCCACCCUUGCUUGAGCCUUGGCAUUUGCAAGGCCUGGUCUGAGGCUGUCUUUUCCAGCAGCAUCUGUACAGCUAAGGAGAUGGAGGACUGGUUCUGUCUCCGAGGAGAAAAGGGAUAAAGAUUCUACAAGAACAACUUAGCUGACCAGUUUGUAAGCCAAUGUGGGGCAGGAACAUGGUUUGGAAAUGAGGAAGAAGGGAGGGAGAGACAGCCCAAGUCUUUGGAAACUUCAGGUAUGUAGCCCAAGCUGGUCUGAAAUGUGUUGGCUUCAAACUCUUGAUCCUCCUGCUUCAGUCCAUUUUUGUGGGUGGACCUUGAUAUAGUAGCUGCGGCUAGGUGCUGAGUACUAAGCGCCUUAUAAAUCUUUCUCUGCUUUUGCCACAGUCCUGUAAGGUGCUAUUUGAUGUGUGGACAAGAAAACGAUAAGAUUUAGGCACUUUGGGUGUAUAUAUUCUUUUAAUAGAAGAUUAAAUGUAGGAAACCAGGGAAAGGAAGAAAAUGGGCAGUGUGGCUCAAGAAACAGAAAGUUGGCACCUAUAGGGUGCAGUUGGAAGUCGCCUGGAGGAGACCUGGGUGUUCUUUGAUAAAGAAAUAAUAAGGUUGCCUUUAGUGAACUCACAGGAACCAGGAAAGCACAGAGCAAAAGCCUAGGCUUGCUUCCCCCACCUCUUCAUUGAUCUUCAUUUUCAAGACCAGAAAAGGGAGUUGGGUUGGGAAGUCUGUGCUAAGCGGCAGCUGUGAAGGCUUCGGUGUGCUUGUGCUCUGGUGAACUCUGGGUGCGGAGAGAAGGAAGCUGGUCCUGGGUCUGGUGCAGUUUUUAUUUUACACAUGGGAUUCUUGUUGAGAUGUGUAAGGAAUAAAUUCCUUUCCUGGUCAUCUGUGUUCUCUCUCUUCAUCUGGUGCCAUCACUGUAGACUAGUGGGUAGCAGUCAUGCUGACUCUGUAUGGUUCGGAUGCUACGCUACAGCCUUAGCGUAGUAAAGCUGGUGGCCAACACCAUCAACUUGUCUAUCACAGCCAAGUUGACAUCGACCAAGAUAUCCCAGAAGAUCAUUAGGACUUGGAUAGAGGACUGAACUCAAUAGGUAUGUGGUUGCAACAUACCAACUGUCACCCUGGUACAGGAGAAAAUGCAGUUUCGAUAGAGCAACCACCUGCUUUUUACAGUGACAGUGUAAAACCCACAAGGAGGGUUGGAGAGAUGGAUAUACAGUUGAAAGCUUGUUCUGCUCUUGCAGAGAAACCAAGUUCAAUUCCCAGCACCUGGGAUAUCUUGGGGUCACUCACGAUUGCCUGUAACUCCAGCUCCAAGGGAUCUAACAUCUUCUGGCUUCUGAGGACACUGUACUCAUGUGUGUAUACCUCGACACAGGUACACACAUAUACUC
rnacentral:lncRNA from 1 species